rnacentral:miRNA from 1 species
UUGGCCAGAAAGUUUAUUCGGGUUUUUCCAUAACAUCUUAUGGAAAAACCCAAACAAUUUUUUUUGCCAA